CAUGCAUUCAGUAAGGAAAAUAUCAAAUAAAUGGUUUUUUCUACAGCACUGUAGCAAUUGCAUUUGUCAUCGGAAUGUUCAUAAUUGGAAUAUGCAGUUCUUUGUAUGGGAUUCAAAUGUAUCACCGACAAGGCAAUAAGCGAGGAAAAUUUUUGAUAAUUGGAGGGGUCGUGAUUUGUUUUUUCGGAGUUGUUAUACCAGGAGCUGCGUAUGUGUGCCGAGGGGUGAAGGCUUCAAUCCCUUCAACGAGUCGCCUGGCUCUGUCGCACCACAGUCAGCAUCGACAUCGAUCACGCCACAGCAACACGCCGCCGCUGCGGUUAAUAGAUUAGAUACAUGGCUUAUUAAUCACUAAUUGAGUGGAAUACAUCUAUAAUUUCAAAAGGGAAUUUUAUUUCAUACCAGCUGUCCCAAUUCUGGUGAAACAUGAGAAUGAAAAAAAAAUGAAGUAUGAAAAAAAUAUGUUGAUUCUCAGCAAGGCGUAUCCUAACGGAUUUAAAACAGCCUAUGAAUGUCCCAUACCUAGGUAACGCUAACUCACAGCAAGUUUCCUUUAAAAUUUAUUUUUGACAAUAAUAAAGGAAUUGCUUUUCACUUAAAAAUAUUUUAAAUGGAAGGCGCCCUUGCAAGAAGGAAAACAAAACUUGAAAUAUCAAGAGG